rnacentral:lncRNA from 1 species
AAUCAUGAGAGAAUAUGGAAGAAUGUAUCUCAACAGAAGAGCAGAUAUAAAAAUGAGAAAUGGGGUGCUGGGGAUUUAGCGCAGUGGUUCCGCCACCUGCCUCGCAAGUGCAAGGUCCUGAGUUCAAUCCCUGGUACCAAAAAAAAAAAAGAGAGAGAAAUAGGAAGGGAUCAAACUUGUGAAUACAGUAAACAAUCAAACUUUUUUUCUAGUCUCUUAAAAAUGUGUAGUACUGUAUUGUUUUUUUUGUUGUUGUUCUUUUUAUUGGUACAUUUUAGGUAUACAGUUCAUUUACAUUUAUCAUUGGGUGCUUGUGCCUGUAUAACCAUGAUAUAUCUUGGUUCUUAUUUUUCCCCAUUACCUUCACGCCCUCCGCCCUUCCCUAUUUACAGAGAUUUAAUUUCCAUUUUCUUUUCUCUUCUCAUAGUUUUUCCUUUCCCUCUUUUCCUUUCCCCUUCCCCUCCCUUCACUCCUUUGUCUUUGGGCCUUUUUUCCUAUUUCAAAUUAUCAUUUAUUCAUUUUAAUCAUUUUAACCCUUGUUUACACUAUCAGUUUCUCACACUAGUGAAACUAUUCGGUAUUUACACAUGUGUGUCCUGUUUAUUUCACUUAAGAGUAUGGCCGCCUCAAUAUGCAUCCAUUUAGCUAUAAAUGACUCUAGUUUUUCAUUCUUUAUGGCUGAGUAGUACUCCAUUUUAUUAAAAAACUCACAUUUUCUUUAUCCAGUUUCCAGCUGAUGGGCACUUGGGCUGUUUCCAAGUUUUAGCUAUUACAAACUGUGCCGCUAUGAACAUGGGUGCACAUAUAUCACUGUGGUAUGAUUCUUUUAAUUCUUUUGGGAAGAUACCCAGCAGGGGAAUAGCUGGGUCAUAUGGGACUCUAGUCCUAGUUCUUUGAGGUGUCUCCAUACUGAUUUCCACAGUGGUUGCACCAGUCUGCACUCCCACCAACAAUGGAGAAGGGUUCCUUUCUCCCCACACCCCCGCCAGCAUUUGUUAUUGAUUGAUUUCAUGAUAGCAGCCAUUCUUUGUGGGGUGAGGUGGAAUCUCAGUGUUGUUUUCAUCUGCAUCUCUCGAAUGACAAGUGAUGUUGAACAUUUUUUCAUAUAUUUGUUUGCUGCUUUUACUUCCUUGUCUGAGAAAUGUCUGUUCAUUUCAGAUGCCCAUUUAUGAAUUGGGUCUUUGAAUUUGGGGGUCUGAUUUUUUCAAUUCUUUAUAUAUUCUAGAUAGUAGGCCUUUGUCUGAGGUACAGCUGCUAAAAAUUUUUUCCUAUAUUGUAGGUUGUCUGUUAGCUCUGUUGGUGGUUUCUUUUGCAGUGCAGAAGCUUUAUAAUAAGAUGAGAUCCCAGUUGUUGAUUCUUUCUGCUAGUUCCCGUGCUGCUGAGGUUUUGUUCAUGAAGUCUUUUCCUAUGCCAGUGUCUUCAAGAGUUCUACCUAGCUUAUCUUCCAGCAAGUUUAGUGUUUCUGUUUUAAUAUUUAGUUCUUUAAUCCACUUCGAUCUUAGUUUAGUGCAUGGUGAUAGGUAUGGGUCUAGUUUCAAUCUCUGGCAGGUUGAAAAGGCACACAGACAGGUCUGCGGAUGCCAUAGCAACCAGGAGAGGACUGUCCAGCUCAGUGUGUCCUGUGAGUGCCGAGCCGGUAUACUGGGUUUCCUGGGUUGGAGUCUUCAUCCUCACGCCUGGAGGCUGUGAGACAGCAGUGAGAAGAGGAGCUUCACAUUACCCGCAGGGCUCCCUGAGCUGAUCAGCACUGGAGAAGGGGUGGCAAUGCACAUUCCAGGGAUUUUCCUAGAACUCAUCUGCGACUAAACGGCAGGCCUUGGCUCACACAGCUUCAUUUUUCUAUUUCAAACGGCAGGUUGAAAGUUCUGGAAAACAAGGCAAAUGGCUAUUAGAGCUGUACGCUUCAAGGCGCUCCCUUUCUUCCUGCUGCCCCUUCGUGCCAGGCUGCUAUUAGGUUCCAAGGACACAGCUGUGGGCCAGAGGCCAGGACCCAUAAGUGCUUACAGUCUGCAGGAAGGGGGUGGAGACCUUGUGUGUCAACACGUGUCCCCUCAGUGGGGAACAGGGUAGUGCAUGGAGCAGGUGAUAGUGGCAGGUGGCAGGCAGUGAGGACGUGCCUCACUGGGACAGUCCCCCUGGCCUCAGACGAGGGAGAGAAGACAGCUGUGUACAAGGGGGACAGCGCUCCAGACCACGGGAGUGGCAGGGACAAAGGGCCUUGGCCUGGUCUAGAACGAGAGGGUGAAGGCAGGUGGCACUCAUGGAUGGUGAGCAGGGGAGAGGGUCUGCCAAGGGCACAGCCAAGGGCUGCCAUCGUUAUUCAAGAUCAUGGCUUUAAGUUCCGACCAAGGGACAGACCUGUCACUGAGUGCGUGGCUACCAGGGUGUAAGCAGGUGUCAAUGAUCGUGAAAGGGGCUGCUAAUGUAGAGGCUUAAAAAUCUCCAUUCUUGGUGAAUUCGUAUCAUUGUCCCUAGCGCUUGGCAUCUGUGCUAAACAGGCCAGACUCCAGGUCACCAUGCCCUCCCUGCUCUGUAGUGGGGUCCAUGCGGGCUUCCGCCUCCACACAAGUGGCAGCCUCGCUGGUGAACACCCACGGGGCUGCCGCCUUGAGCUGGGCCAGAAGAACAGAGACACAGACACCAGUGGGGCAGAGACGGUCAUAACUUCACUUUUUUUAGACAAGGUCUCACUGCAUAGUUCAGGCUGGUCCUGAGCUCACUAUGUAGCCCAGGCUGGCCUGGAACUCCAGAUAAUUAAUUCCCCUGCCUCUGUCUCCCGAGUGCUGGCACUGCAGGCUUGUGCCACCAUGCCCGGCUCCAACUCUACUUUUUACUUUUUACUUUUGAGGGGAUCCGUGGUCAGUGCGGAGCCCUCGGCCCUAGUACUGCAUUUCUGGCUCUGUGCAGGUGCUGUGUGCACUGUGUUAUCUUUCAGGAGAAACACCCGUGGUCCACGCUGCUGCCAGGAAGAUGACAGCAAAGCAGACAGACGGCCACCUGGGUGGUGCUGCUCAGGAAGGUCCCAGAUCAGGCGAUCUCAACAGCUCCCUGGUGACACCUGGCAGGUAGGUCUCUGCUGGUGACAGCGGCAGGGCUGUGCUAUGUGGUAUCCAUGCUGAUCAGCGGCCCUGGCCUCUGCGGCUGGGUGCUCAGUUGCACGCUCUCCUAAGCUGGUGCAGCCAAAAGUGUCCCCAGGCUCUGCCAGAUGCCCCUGGCGCCCUGAGUUAGACAGACAUGGAGCUUUGAAUGGAACCAAGCACCAUGACAGGAAUGAAGCUCGGUGGAGAGGAGGGGCUUGGGGAAGCUCUUGCUCGGGGACACAGCCGGCUGCCCUGCCCCAUCUUUGGUGACUUGAAUGGAACUGAUCUUUGUCCCGAAACUCCCGCCCAGUCUGGUGGUGCUGGUGGGUGUCUGGAUGGCACAGCCCUGCUGCAGAGCAGCCCGUGAGCGUGGGUAGAGGGGACUCCAAGCAUGGACACGCACCCCAGCAGCCAGCUGUGCACACGGCUGUGCAGCGGUGCUAUUUGUAAACCAACGCUGGGCACUGAGCAAAUGCCAUGCAGCUGGCUGUGCAGGCUCCUUGGAGCACACCGGAGGGGAUAGGCGGCCCUCAGGGUCCCCUGGGUGGGUUCCAGGACCCUGGGUGCCAACGUUUCGGGAACAGUAAGAGUAAGUCUACAAAUAUUCAGUACAGGCACAAGGUUUGAAAAUAUUCUGGAUCCAUGGUUGGUCCAGUCUAUGGCUGCAGAUUCCUCAGCUACAGGGGGCAGGUGGAGCCGUGCAGCUGACCUGUGCUGAGCAGAGAGACCCCAUGACUCAGGAGAGCACAGAGGGCCAAGGGGCCCAGGGGCAACAGUGUCUGUGUGAGUCGGGGACAGGGGAGUGGGAGUCGCCAAAUACCAGAGGGGACAAAAGUGGAUAGAGAGAGAAGGAAAAGCCUUGAUGCUGUUUGCAAGGCCCUGAACGCAGCCCUGCCUCGAGCUCCCCUCAGAAUGCUGUGACAAAGACCCAGGCUCCAGCUCUCGGACAGCCGAGCUCAGUCGAGGGACAGGCUACUUGCCCGGAACCGGACUGUGCCGGAGGAGCUG